UACGUAGGUGGCAAGCGUUGUCCGGAUUUAUUGGGUUUAAAGGGUGCGUAGGCGGCUUUAUAAGUCAGUGGUGAAAUCUCCCGGCUUAACCGGGAGGGUGGCAUUGAUACUGCAGAGCUUGAGUGAAGUCGAGGUAGGCGGAAUUGACGGUGUAGCGGUGAAAUGCUUAGAUAUCGUCAAGAACACCGAUAGUGAAGACAGCUUACUAGACUUCAACUGACGCUGAGGCACGAAAGUGUGGGGAUCAAACAGG
rnacentral:rRNA from 1 species